GAUGAACGCUAGCUACAGGCUUAACACAUGCAAGUCGAGGGGUAGCAGGGUAGCAAUACCGCUGACGACCGGCGCACGGGUGAGUAACACGUAUCCAACCUUCCCAUAACUCUGGGAUAGCCUUUCGAAAGAAAGAUUAAUACCGGAUGGUACUUUUUCAAGGCAUCUUGAGAAAGUUAAAGAUUUAUUGGUUAUGGAUGGGGAUGCGUUCCAUUAGAUAGUUGGUGAGGUAACGGCUCACCAAGUCUUCGAUGGAUAGGGGUUCUGAGAGGAAGGUCCCCCACAUUGGUACUGAGACACGGACCAAACUCCUACGGGAGGCAGCAGUGAGGAAUAUUGGUCAAUGGGCGAGAGCCUGAACCAGCCAAGUAGCGUGAAGGAUGAAGGUCCUAUGGAUUGUAAACUUCUUUUAUAGUAGAAUAAAGUGACCCACGUGUGGGUUUUUGUAUGUAUACUAUGAAUAAGGAUCGGCUAACUCCGUG
rnacentral:rRNA from 1 species